ACUGAACGCUGGCGGCAGGCCUAACACAUGCAAGUCGAGUGGAUGAAGGGAGCUUGCUCCUGGAUUCCGCGGCGGACGGGUGAGUAAUGCCUAGGAAUCUGCCUGGUCGUGGGGGAUAACGUCCGGAAACGGGCGCUAAUACCGCAUACGUCCUGAGGGAGAAAGUGGGGGAUCUUCGGACCUCACGCUAUCAGAUGAACCUAGGUCGGAUUAGCUAGUUGGUGGGGUAAAGGCCUACCAAGGCGACGAUCCGUAACUGGUCUGAGAGGAUGAUCAGUCACACUGGAACUGAGACACGGUCCAGACUCCUACGGGAGGCAGCAGUGGGGAAUAUUGGACAAUGGGCGAAAGCCUGAUCCAGCCAUGCCGCGUGUGUGAAGAAGGCCUUCGGAUUGUAAAGCACUUUAAGUUGGGAGGAAGGGCAGUAAGUUAAUACCUUGCUGUUUUGACGUUACCAACAGAAUAAGCACCGGCUAACUUCGUG
rnacentral:rRNA from 1 species